AGUGAACGCUGGCGGUAGGCCUAACACAUGCAAGUCGAACGGCAGCACAGUAAGAGCUUGCUCUUACGGGUGGCGAGUGGCGGACGGGUGAGGAAUACAUCGGAAUCUACUUUUUCGUGGGGGAUAACGCAGGGAAACUUACUCUAAUACCGCAUACGACCUACGGGUGAAAGCAGGGGAUCUUCUGACCUUGCGCGAUUGAAUGAGCCGAUGUCGGAUUAGCUAGUUGGCGGGGUAAAGGCCCACCAAGGCGACGAUCCGUAGCUGGUGUGAGAGGAUGGUCAGCCACACUGGAACUGAGACACGGUCCAGACUCCUACGGGAGGCAGCAGUGGGGAAUAUUGGACAAUGGGCGCAAGCCUGAUCCAGCCAUACCGCGUGGGUGAAGAAGGCCUUCGGGUUGUAAAGCCCUUUUGUUGGGAAAGAAAAGCAGCAGGUUAAUACCCAGCUGUUCUGACGGUACCCAAAGAAUAAGCACCGGCUAACUUCGUG
rnacentral:rRNA from 1 species